UAAACUWUAAACUAGGAYUAGAUACCCUAUUAUUUUUAUUAAAUUGAACUUAAUUAUUUAUUAAAUGUAAAACAUUAAAAAUAAAAAAUUUGGCGGUACUUAAUAUUUAGAGGAACUUGUUUGUUAAAUUGAUAGUCCACGAAUGGAAAAACUUAAUUUAAUAAUUUUAUGUAUUGUUGUUGGAAAAUUGUAUUAAGAGAUAAAAAUUAAUAAAUUUAAUUAAAUUAUAAUUCAAAUCAAAAWGUAGAAUAAUUAAGAAUUUAAAUGAGUUACAAUUAAAUAAAUAAUAUUGAAUUUUAUAAUUUAAUUUAUAAAUGAAAAUGGAUUUAAAAGUAAAUUUAUAAAAAUAUAUAAUUGAAAAUGUUUUUGG
rnacentral:rRNA from 1 species